GAGGGUAUAGCUUAGUAGUAGAGUGCAUGCCUAGCAUGCACAAGGUCCUGGGUUCAAUCCCCAGUACCUCCA
rfam:Camelus ferus unplaced genomic scaffold scaffold168, whole genome shotgun sequence.